AGGUGCUGGUGGCAUUUUGCGGAUGUAAUGAAGAACACAUUGUCUAAGAUUGCUUUGUGGUGCCUUCUGCCCUGAGCCCGGCUCCCUCCUCAAGACCAGGCUGGUAGAGAAAGUCAGCUGCAAGCUCACUCAGAAGGCGGUGAAAGGACAGAAAAGUUGCCCAACUUUGUGGAGCUUGGAUUAGGGGAAUGGUUGUGUAGUGGGGGAAAGGGUGUAAUAGCCACUCCUCCUCACACCAGAAGGCUGGAGAAAAGAGAUCUCCUGUAAUUUAAAGAAUUAAGCAUAAUGAAAUCAUUUUCCCUUGUUGAGAACUGACCAACUCCUAAAGAGGAAACAGAGAUGGGGUGAGAGGGCAGAGAAACAGGAGGAAUUUUCUCUUAGGUGACCAUUGCUGUCAGAGAGGUGGCGAUGCUGGUUUUGUCAACUCCCGAGGUUCCCGAAGCCUGAGCCAAGAGCCUGAAAGCAAGAGGAAGCGGCGGUGGACCAGGGGUGGGCAUGCGCAGGAACACCACAGUGUUGUCUGCAGUCGGACGGCCUCACCCACUGGGUGGCCAGACACAGGCAGAUUGUGAUAAAUCGGUACACAUACGUCCUGUUAGCCUUUACUGUAACUACGGGUUAGCAACAUUCCAGAUGUGUGUGUGUGUGUGUGUGUGUGUGUGUUCAGCUAUGUGCACACAGGUGCCACAGCCCGUGCACACAGGUGCCACAGCCCGUGCAUGAAGGCCAGAAGACAACUUGAGGGAGCCGGUUCUCUCCUUCCACCGCGUUGGCCCCAGGAAUUGAAUUUAGGUUCUCAGGCUUGGCGACAGACCUAUUUCUCGCCACUCCUACUUUCCAUUUCUUUAGCUGGGCCCGAUAGAAGUUUGUUACAUGGAUGCCAGGGUUCUUUUCCUUGUUAACUGUAGUGAGAACUUUGGUUUAUUAAAACAAACAAACAAACAAACAAACAAACACCCAAAACCCAGUUAUGUUAGGUCAUGCGACUAUGUUUUUGUUCUUAAUCCCAGGCGUGGAAUAUGGGGCUGCUUCAGAUUGUCCACAGCGGCUGACUGUAAUGUGCCUCAUGCUCUGGCAGGGGCACGAUUUGUGCCAGCUGCGGAUAGCUUAAUUCUGGGACCUUCUGAGAGGGUAUAAGUGGGAGGGCGCUGAGAGGACCCCUCCCCUGCUGUUGGGUCGUCCUGCUGCUGUGUUUGCUAUUGCUGUUUUGCUGUUUUGGAUUGGACUGGCCCCAGGGAACCACGCCCCUAUUCAGCCGGAAGCAGCCAAUAGAGGUCUAGGUUUUCUUUCCCCUCUAACCUUCUUUCUCGCCUACCCAGUGUUGGGGGUUGGAAGGGAUUAGGGUGAGUAAGGGUUGGAAAGGGGGUAGAGGUAUAAGAACCCAAUACAGUACCAUAGAACAACACGCCUAUAGUUAACACCUGCUAAACAAAUGAUAGUUGCUUUUUGUUUGUUUGUUUGUUUGUUUGUUUCCAUGGUGGUUGGUUCUGCUACUUGCUGGAUGUACCAAAAUCAUGGCUACUCGGGUCUUUAUGUGAAGAAGUGUAGUGUUUCUACAUAAUCAAUGCACAGUCUCUGUAUACCUUGUACUUUAAGUCACCCC